rnacentral:lncRNA from 10 species
CCCCCAUCCAGGUCAGCUUCAGCUACAGAAGAGCGGCAGGUACCCCAGCAGGAGCUUUGAAAACCACCAGGAAGAGGCAGGAGGAGGGGUCUGCUUAUUCUCUCUGGCACCCAAGCAAGGCAGGUUAUGCCGGAUGUGGAAACUGAGGCUCGGAAGUGCAGCUCCAGCCACGCCUGGAGCCAGCCUGAGAAUGGAGUGUGUUCAACUCCAGGGUCUGGGUACUUCACCUCCACAGUGAACUGCAGAGUGGACUCAGCUCAUCUCAUGGGGGCUCAGAUGAGGAAAUGAAACCCAGAGAGGACAAGUGACUUGGCCCACAUCCAGCAGGAAGUCAGUGGCAGAGCUAAGACCAGGUCUCCCGGCUCCCCGUGAAAUGUUUCUGGCCUUAGCAGCACAGUGUAGAGCCAGAGGUUCUGAAAUCACCUUCUAGAAACAGCCAUGCCCUCAGAUGAGAGCAGAAGCCUGAAAUAAGAAGAAGGGGGCCUGCAAGGGACCCUUUUCCUACUCUUGGUGUGAAAGUAGAUUCCCAGAUACAAUGUGGGAUGCCUAGUUAGAUUUCAGCUUUAGUGGCCAGGUACGGUGGCUCACGCCUAUAAUCCCA